rnacentral:rRNA from 1 species
AUUGAACGCUGGCGGCAGGCCUAACACAUGCUAGUAGAGCGAGCGGCGGACGGGUGAGUAAUGUCUGGGAAACUGCCUGAUGGAGGGGGAUAACUACGGGAAAAGGGAGCUAAUACCGCAUACCAUCAGAUGUGCCCAGAUGGGUUUAGCUAGUAGGUGGGGUAACGGCUCACCUAGGCGACGAGCCCUAGCUGGGCUGAGAGGAUGACCAGCCACACUGGAACUGAGCCACGGUCCAGACUCCUACGGGAGGCGGCGGUGGGGAAUAUUGCACAAUGGGCUCAAGCCUGAUGCAGCCAGGCCGCGUGUGUGAUGAAGGCCUUCGGGUUGUAAAGCACUUUCAGCGGGGGGGCGUUACCCGCAGAAGAAGCACCGGCUAACUCCGUGCCAGCAGCCGCGGUAAUAC